UAAUACGUAGGGUGCGAGCGUUAAUCGGAAUUACUGGGCGUAAAGGGUGCGCAGGCGGUCCCGCAAGUCAGGCGUGAAAUCCCCGGGCUUAACCUGGGAAUGGCACUUGAAACUACGGGACUAGAGUGUGGCAGAGGGAGGUGGAAUUCCACGUGUAGCGGUGAAAUGCGUAGAUAUGUGGAGGAACACCAAUGGCGAAGGCAGCCUCCUGGGUCAACACUGACGCUCAUGCACGAAAGCGUGGGGAGCAAACAGGAUUAGAUACCCUGGUAGUCCACGCCCUAAACGAUGAUGACUAGUUGUUGGAGGAGUUAAAUCCUUUAGUAACGCAGCUAACGCGAGAAGUCAUCCGCCUGGGGAGUACGGUCGCAAGAUUA
rnacentral:rRNA from 1 species